UAAGGAAUAUUGGUCAAUGCCCGGAAGGGUGAACCAGCCAUCCCGCGUGAAGGAUGAAGGGGCUCUGCCUUGUAAACUUCUUUUGAAUGGGACGAAAAAGCCUCACUUGUGAGGAACUGACGGUACCAUUAGAAUAAGCACCGGCUAACUCCGUGCCAGCAGCCGCGGUAAUACGGAGGGUGCGAGCGUUAUCCGGAAUCACUGGGUUUAAAGGGUGCGUAGGCGGCUGUAUAAGUCAGUGGUGAAAGGCUGUGGCUUAACCAUGGGAUUGCCAUUGAUACUGUACGGCUUGAAUUAGGAUGAGGUUGGCGGAAUGUGACAUGUAGCGGUGAAAUGCUUAGAUAUGUCAUGGAACAUCGAUUGCGAAGGCAGCUGACUGGACCUUAAUUGACGCUGAGGCACGAAAGCGUGGGGAGCGAACAGGAUUAGAUACCCUUGUAGUCCCUGAGCGGGCUGGCAAGGCGCAU
rnacentral:rRNA from 1 species